rnacentral:rRNA from 1 species
GGGACAACCCGCCGAAAGGCGGGCUAAACCCGCGUACAUGCCACCGGGGCAUCCCGGAGGCAGGAAAGGCUUCGGCCGGACAGGGAUGGGCAUGCGGCGCAUUAGGCAGUAGGCGGGGUAACGGCCCACCUAACCGACGAUGCGUAGGGGUUCUGAGAGGAAGGUCCCCCACACUGGUACUGAGACACGGACCAGACUCCUACGGGAGGCAGCAGUGAGGAAUAUUGGUCAAUGGUCGGGAGACUGAACCAGCCAAGCCGCGUGAGGGAGGAAGGUACAGAGUAUCGUAAACCUCUUUUGUCAGGGAACAAAGACUGGGACGCGUCCCCGGAUGAGUGUACCUGAAGAAAAAGCAUCGGCUAACUCCGUGCCAGCAGCCGCGGUAAUACGGAGGAUGCGAGCGUUAUCCGGAUUUAUUGGGUUUAAAGGGUGCGCAGGCGGUCUGUUAAGUCAGCGGUCAAAGCCCGGGGCUCAACCCCGGCCCGCCGUUGAAACUGGCAGUCUCGAGUUGGAGAGAAGUAUGCGGAAUGCGCGGUGUAGCGGUGAAAUGCAUAGAUAUCGCGCAGAACUCCGGUUGCGAAGGCAGCAUGCCGGCUCCACACUGACGCUGAGGCACGAAAGCGUGGGUAUCGAACAGGAUUAGAUACCCUGGUAGUCCACGCAGUAAAC